CACAAUGGACGAUUACGUCUAAGUGAGUCUGAUAGCAGACUGUCACUUAAACCUAACCUAACCUAAAUCGAAGAUGUGGACAUGAAGGCAGAAGGGGCGAAGUGAAUAGUAACAAACAAACGGUUCUAAAAACAUUUGUGACAAAUCUUCCAGUCCACAUGACAACUGUGUUGUGUGCAUUAAAACCAACAACCAUUGAAGAAGCUCUGCACGAAUUAAGCUUAGCAGGCUUCUUGAACCAAGAAAAGAAGCAAGACAAACCUCACUCCAGCAGUAAACAUCAGCAAUAUGCCGAAUGGAAGCCGAUAUUCGCACAUCCUGUAUAUAGGACACCAAUACAAUGGCAGAAGAAUUCAUCCCAACAAUGGCAGCCAACAUCACCUCAACAACAAUGGAAACAUAGGUCACCACAACAACAACAAUGGCAACCGAGGUACUUACAACGAAAACAACAAUAUUGGCAUCCAAGAUAUCCCCAACAACAAUAAAGGCAGCCACCACCUAAAUUCCAACAGAACCGAUGAUAGUAGAUGCAUCCCCACAGUUUAAAAGGCAAACCCACCAUCAGGAGAAGGAUAACAACAAGAAAGGUCUCUGGAAGUCCUUGCUGGCGAUUUUCCUGAUGAUAUCAUCAGUUGUAGCACAAAAACUCGAGGUAGUCGACCAUAGUAAAGGAAACUAGGAGAGCAAGUUUCACAUCUUAAUGAUUUAUACUUACAACAUGAAAUAGAUCACAUCAAUUUACGACUUAAGAGUAUAAUACCUCAUCAUACAAGGAAUAAAAGAGGUUUAAUAAAUAUAUAAGGAACAGGUUUAAAAUAUCUUUAUGGAACAGUGGAUAAUAACGAUAGGGAAGAGGUCAAGGGAAUAUUAAAGGUUUUAGAGAUAAACGGGCACAAUUUGAUAACACAAAAUUAUAAUCAGAUACAUAUCAACACCCAAUUUGACAAUCAAUUAACUAAUUUGACAAAAUUAUACAAUGAACAAACUAGAUUAUUAAUGAAAAGUGUUUUAAAUAUUAAAUUAUAUAACAAGAAUACAGCAAGAAUUGACAAAAUGUAUUACCUAAAAUACCAAAUUGAUCACAUGAACAUCCUGAGUGAUGAAGAAAUUAAAAUAUAUAUAAUAUAACCUUAGAUAAAAUGAAAGAAAUAAAGAUGAAUCUAGCCAUUUACCGAUGCAAUAUUUUAUUUAUAUUAAAAAUACCUCAUUUUAAUCCUAAAAUAUUUCAAGAAAUGUAUUUCCCACCUAAUAAAAAUAAGAUGCAAAUUGAUAUUGUGAACAAAUUAUAUAUUACAAAGAACAAUAAAAUAUAUUAUGAUGUAAGUGAAACAACAAAUCUUAAAGAAAUUGAAGAAGAAUAUAUUUCCAAUUUAUUUAGUUAUAAGCAAAUGAAAAGCCAUUACGUUAGAAACACCAAAACACAAAUUUUUGAGAUUGGAAAAAAUAUAAUAAUUGCAAUAAAUUGCAAUAAACCAAACCGGAUAAUUAAUGAUACCUGUAAUAAUUAUCUAUUAAAUUUAUCUGGAAAUCAUUUAAUGAUCAUAGAAAAUUGUAAAGUGAAAUUAGAUAAAUGGUAUGAUAAAAGAGUAUUGCAAAAAAAAAAAAAUUAAUUAUCCCAAAUCCCAAUAGAGACGUCCAUAUGUUGUUAAAUGACACCUAUGAUUCUUUGGAUAAAUUGAUUCAAACAGAAAGCAACUAAUUAUAUUGUAUUAACGUUAAUAAUUGUAAUUAUAUUCAUUAUAUCAUUAUGUUUUUAUGUAAAAUACCAACCAAAAUCAAGUAAUGUGAAUUUAGGUGUUAAUACACCCUUUCCCGUAGCUCCUUUAGAUCACGGGCAAGAGUCUUCGUCCGGGGGAGUUAUAACCCAAAAUAAAAUACCCUUUCAAUAGUGACUCAUUCAUCAGAUGUUCAUAUAACAACAUGAUCAUACGAUGAUCAUCCUUAUGAUGACUCAUCCAUCAGAUAGUCAUAUUACACCAUGUUCAUACGACGGUCAUAUUCACAACAUAUAUAAAUCUCUUUCAGAUAGUUAUAUUACAGCAUGAUCAUGCAAUGAUCAUAUUCAUAGGAAUCAUAUUAUGUAUCAUUAUAAACAUAUUUAGCACAAACACAGAUAUCAUAUCCAAAGCCAAUCAUAGAAUAAUAACAUUAUGCUAAGAUUGAAUAAAAAUUACCAAUAAAGAAUAGUUCUAUUCUAACGGCCAAAGUA
rnacentral:sRNA from 1 species